rnacentral:rRNA from 1 species
ACAAGCGGCGGAGCAUGCGGAUUAAUCGAUGCAACGCGAAGAACCUUACCAAGGCUUGACAUACACCGGUAACGCCCAGAGAUGGGUGCCCCUUUGUGGUCGGUGUACAGGUGGUGCAUGGUUGUCGUCAGCUCGUGUCGUGAGAUGUUGGGUUAAGUCCCGCAACGAGCGCAACCCUCGUCCUAUGUUGCCAGCGGGUCAUGCCGGGGACUCAUGGGAGACUGCCGGGGUCAACUCGGAGGAAGGUGGGAUGACGUCAAAUCAUCAUGCCCCUUAUGUCUUGGGCUUCACGCAUGCUACAAUGGCCGGUACAAAGGGCUGCGAUACCGCGAGGUGGAGCGAAUCCCAGAAAGCCGGUCUCAGUUCGGAUUGGGGUCUGCAACUCGACCCCAUGAAGUCGGAGUCGCUAGUAAUCGCAGAUCAGCAACGCUGCGGUGAAUACGUUCCCGGGCCUU